rnacentral:rRNA from 1 species
UACAGAGGGCGCGAGCGUUAAUCGGAAUUACUGGGCGUAAAGCGCGCGUAGGCGGCUUUGCAAGUCGGGUGUGAAAUCCCCAGGCUUAACCUGGGAACUGCAGUCGAGACUGUCUAGCUAGAGUAUGGGAGAGGGAAGUGGAAUUUCAGGUGUAGCGGUGAAAUGCGUAGAUAUCUGAAGGAACAUCAGUGGCGAAAGCGACUUCCUGGACCAAUACUGACGCUCAUGUGCGAAAGCGUGGGGAGCAAACAGG